rnacentral:rRNA from 1 species
AGAGUUUGAUUAUGGCUCAGGACGAACGCUGGUGGCGGGCCUAACACAUGCAAGUCGAACGAGGCUUUCCGGUGCUUGCAUGGAAAAUCGAGUGGCGAACGGGUGAGUAAUACAUGAGAAACCUGCCUUGGAGACGGGGACAACCUCGGGAAACUGAGGCUAAUACCCGAUAUCCCUGCCGAGUCGCAUGACUUGGCAAGAAAAUACUCAGGUGCUCCAAGAAGGUCUCAUGCCCUAUCAGCUUGUUGGUGAGGUAAAAGCUCACCAAGGCUUAGACGGGUAGCUGGUCUGAGAGGACGAUCAGCCACACUGGGACUGAGACACGGCCCAGACUCCUACGGGAGGCAGCAGUGGGGAAUCUUGCGCAAUGGGCGAAAGCCUGACGCAGCCACGCCACGUGUGGGACGACGGCCCUCGGGUUGUAAACCACUUUCAGCAGGGACGAAAAUGACGGUACCUGCAGAAGAAGCCCCGGCCAACUACGUGCCAGCAGCCGCGGUAACACGUAGGGGGCGAGCGUUGUCCGGAAUUACUGGGCGUAAAGGGCUCGUAGGCGGUUUGGUAAGUCAGAUGUGAAAACUCCAGGCUCAACUUGGAGACGCCAUCUGAUACUGCCAUGACUAGAGUUUGGUAGAGGAGUGCAGAAUUCCCGGUGUAGCGGUGAAAUGCGCAGAUAUCGGGAGGAAUACCAGUCAGCGAAGGCGGCACUCUGGGCCACAACUGACGCUGAGGAGCGAAAGCGUGGGGAGCGAACAGGAUUAGAUACCCUGGUAGUCCACGCCGUAAACGGUGGGCACUAGGUGUGGGACCCUGUCAACGGGUUCCGUACACGUA